rnacentral:rRNA from 1 species
AGGAAUAUUGGUCAAUGGACGCAAGUCUGAACCAGCCAUGCCGCGUGCAGGAUGACGGCUCUAUGAGUUGUAAACUGCUUUUGUACGAGGGUAAACCCCGAUACGUGUAUUGGGUUGAAAGUAUCGUGCGAAUACGCAUCGGCUAACUCCGUGCCAGCAGCCGCGGUAAUACGGAGGAUGCGAGCGUUAUCCGGAUUUAUUGGGUUUAAAGGGUGCGUAGGCGGUUACUUAAGUCAGCGGUCAAAUGGCGGGGCUCAACCCCGUCCAGCCGUUGAAACUGGGUAGCUUGAGUCGGCGAGAAGUACGCGGAAUGCGCGGUGUAGCGGUGAAAUGCAUAGAUAUCGCGCAGAACUCCGAUUGCGAAGGCAGCGUACCGGCGCCGCACUGACGCUGAGGCACGAAAGCGUGGGUAUCGAACAGG